rnacentral:misc_RNA from 1 species
CGCACGUGGUUCCUGCGGUGCCGCGUGUCACGCUCGGCGAACUUGCACGCGCGCUGCACACAACCGCGCAGCCUCGUAACGCAUCCCGUGGCGUGCCCGCUCUCUAGAGAGCGCUGCCUCUCCUUUUCUCGUUUGGUACGCGUAGUGUGAGCCCCACGAUCAUGUCAUCGCCUACAGCGACGCCUGCAGCGACGCCGAUAGCGAACGCCGGAGAGGAGCGCCCGCCAUUGGCGGCACCAGUCCCCACCGAAGACGGCCUUCUGCCUGCGGCGGCGGCCACGAAUGCCGCCGCCAAUGACAACGACCUCACCACCCUCUCCACUCAGGUCUACCUGGAGCGCACGGUGCUGGGGGUGCUGGCGCUUGCUCUGGAGGACGUGUGCCGAGUGCGACCACCGAAUCCCGUAGACUACCUCGGCAGCUAUCUUCUCCGUAGAUCGACCGCGAACAACACCGUCGAGGUGUCCUACGAGGACACCGUUCCCAAGGCCGUACCGACUACCGACGAGUGAGGUGGUCGUGAGGCGUGGCGGAGGGGGUGGCGUGUCUUCCGUCCCGUGUACGUCUACUGGUGGCGGUGUCGUCCUCUUGGAUGCUUCACUGAGGGCACCUUCCCCUCUGCUUUCUUUUGCGCUCACUGAGCCGCGACUGCCGCUCUGCUCGCCGCGGCGUGCGACCGCCCAUGAAAGCCGAGAUGCAGCGGUGGGCUUAGGGUGCAGGGCGAACGAAGGGGUUUGUGCUUCCCUUCUUGCUUGUAGGGACGCGAGCUUGGCGUGCACGCUUUUGAGGAUAACGAUGUACACUGACUUUCCAAACUAGAAGGGCGAGGCAGAGAGAGAGGCCUGAAAAGUGGACCACGAAGGGCCAAGGAGAGGGGUGAAGAUGCGCUCGACGUGGUGGUAUAACAUGCCUCGCUCACGACCUCCUCGGCUCUCAGCUUUCCCGCAUGCGUGUGUUGUUUUUCUUCGCUCUCCUGGCCUCGACUCCGUUUUGGGCGAUGCCGCGAGCUACG